UACGAAGACUAGUGAGA
rnacentral:sRNA from 1 species